rnacentral:rRNA from 1 species
GGAGCAGCCCAGAGCCUGAAUCAGUGUGUGUGUUAGUGGAAGCGUCUGGAAAGGCGUGCGAUACAGGGUGACAGCCCCGUACACAAAAAUGCACAUAUUGUGAGCUUGAUGAGUAGGGCGGGACACGUGGUAUCCUGUCUGAAUAUGGGGGGACCAUCCUCCAAGGCUAAAUACUCCUGACUGACCGAUAGUGAACCAGUACCGUGAGGGAAAGGCGAAAAGAACCCCGGCGAGGGGAGUGAAAAAGAACCUGAAACCGUGUACGUACAAGCAGUGGGAGCACGCUUAGGCGUGUGACUGCGUACCUUUUGUAUAAUGGGUCAGCGACUUAUAUUCUGUAGCAAGGUUAACCGAAUAGGGGAGCCGAAGGGAAACCGAGUCUUAACUGGGCGUUAAGUUGCAGGGUAUAGACCCGAAACCCGGUGAUCUAGCCAUGGGCAGGUUGAAGGUUGGGUAACACUAACUGGAGGACCGAACCGACUAAUGUUGAAAAAUUAGCGGAUGACUUGUGGCUGGGGGUGAAAGGCCAAUCAAACCGGGAGAUAGCUGGUUCUCCCCGAAAGCUAUUUAGGUAGCGCCUCGUGAAUUCAUCUCCGGGGGUAGAGCACUGUUUCGGCA